rnacentral:rRNA from 1 species
GACAGAGGGUGCAAACGUUGCUCGGAAUCACUGGGCGUAAAGGGCGUGUAGGCGGGAGAGAAAGUCGGGCGUGAAAUCCCUAGGCUCAACCUAGGAACUGCACUCGAAACUUCCCUUCUUGAGUGCCGGAGAGGAAAGCGGAAUACCUGGUGUAGAGGUGAAAUUCGUAGAUAUCAGGUGGAACACCAGUGGCGAAGGCGGCUUGCUGGACGGUAACUGACGCUGAGACGCGAAAGCGUGGGGAGCAAACAGG